rnacentral:tRNA from 1 species
UCCCCCAUAGCUCAGUUGGUAAAGAAUCUGCCUGCAAUGCAGGAGACCUGGGUUCGAUUCCUGGGUUGGGAA